GAGGCGGCGUGGGGGCUAAUACAUGCAAUGUCGAACGCACUCUCGUUUAGAUUGAAGGAGCUUGCUCCUGAUUGAUAAACAUUUGAGUGAGUGGCGGACGGGUGAGUAACACGUGGGUAACCUGCCCUAAAGUGGGGGAUAACAUUUGGAAACAGAUGCUAAUACCGCAUAAAACCUAACACCGCAUGGUGUAGGGUUGAAAGAUGGUUUCGGCUAUCACUUUAGGAUGGACCCGCGGUGCAUUAGUUAGUUGGUGAGGUAAAGGCUCACCAAGACCGUGAUGCAUAGCCGACCUGAGAGGGUAAUCGGCCACACUGGGACUGAGACACGGCCCAGACUCCUACGGGAGGCAGCAGUAGGGAAUCUUCCACAAUGGACGAAAGUCUGAUGGAGCAACGCCGCGUGAGUGAAGAAGGUUUUCGGAUCGUAAAACUCUGUUGUUGGAGAAGAAUGUAUCUGAUAGUAACUGAUCAGGUAGUGACGGUAUCCAACCAGAAAGCCACGGCUAACUACGUGCCAGCAGCCGCGGUAAUACGUAGGUGGCAAGCGUUGUCCGGAUUUAUUGGGCGUAAAGCGAGCGCAGGCGGUUUCUUAAGUCUGAUGUGAAAGCCUUCGGCUCAACCGAAGAAGUGCAUCGGAAACUGGGAAACUUGAGUGCAGAAGAGGACAGUGGAACUCCAUGUGUAGCGGUGAAAUGCGUAGAUAUAUGGAAGAACACCAGUGGCGAAGGCGGCUGUCUGGUCUGUAACUGACGCUGAGGCUCGAAAGCAUGGGUAGCAAACAGGAUUAGAUACCCUGGUAGUCCAUGCCGUAAACGAUGAGUGCUAGGUGUUGGAGGGUUUCCGCCCUUCAGUGCCGCAGCUAACGCAUUAAGCACUCCGCCUGGGGAGUACGACCGCAAGGUUGAAACUCAAAGGAAUUGACGGGGGCCCGCACAAGCGGUGGAGCAUGUGGUUUAAUUCGAAGCAACGCGAAGAACCUUACCAGGUCUUGAAAUCCUUUGACCACUCUAGAAAAGAAACUUUUCCCUUCGGGGAAAAAAUGGACAGGUGGUGCAUGGUUGUCCUCAGCCCCGGUCCGGGAAAAUGUUGGGUUAAGUCCCCCAACAAACGCAACCCUUUUUCAAUUUUGCCACCUUUAUUGGGGCCCCCUUUGGAAACUCCCGGGAAAAACCCCGAGAGAGGGGGGGGAAAAACCAAAUCUUUUGCCCUUUUAACCCGGGGGCCCACCCGGUUCAAAGGGUGGGGCAACAAAUUUGAAACCCCGGGGGUUUCCAAC
rnacentral:rRNA from 1 species